AACGAACGCUGGCGGCGUGGAUAAGACAUGCAAGUCGAACGGGACAAGUAGCAAUAUUUGUCUAGUGGCGAACGGGUGCGUAACACGUGGGCAACAUGCCUGGAAGAGCGGGAUAGCCCGGGGAAACUCGGAUUAAUACCGCAUGUGACAACGGGGCGGAUUCGCCCUGUUUUCAAAGGUGGGGACCGCAAGGCCUGCCGCUUCCAGAUUGGCCCGCGUCCUAUCAGCUAGUUGGCGGGGUAACGGCCCACCAAGGCGACGACGGGUAGCUGGUCUGAGAGGACGACCAGCCACACUGGAACUGAGACAUGGUCCAGACACCUACGGGUGGCAGCAGUCGAGAAUCUUUCACAAUGGGGGAAACCCUGAUGGAGCGACGCCGCGUGGAGGAUGACGGUCUUCGGAUUGUAAACUCCUGUCAUGAAAGAACAAGCGGAGCGGGUGAACAGCCCGCCGAGUUGAUAGUAUUUCAAGAGGAAGGGACGGCUAACUUCGUGCCAGCCGCCGCGGUAAUAC
rnacentral:rRNA from 1 species